UCUCCGUUGGUGAACCAGCGGAGGGAUCAUUACAGAGUCGUAAAACACUCCCAAACCCAUGUGAACUUACCUUUGUUGCCUCGGCAGGACCUACCUGGUAUCUACCCUGUAGCCUGCCGGUGGACCACUAAACUAUUGUUAUUUAUGUAAAUCUGAGCGUCUUAUUUAAUAAGUCAAAACUUUCAACAACGGAUCUCUUGGUUCUG
rnacentral:misc_RNA from 1 species